ACCUUAUAUAGAUGUAGCGACGCAAGACAGUUGCGCAUUUCCCUGUAAGGUAGUGUUUCAACAGAAGUGUAAACGACAAGUCUUAUUGCGUGGCUAUGAGUCGAAAUAAGAUGAGUUUAUAUGGAAUAGGUUAACCGUAAGACCUUGAAUUGAGAAAUUCUAAAAUUGAUCUAGAUUUCGAAUUUCCGAAAUUUCGUAAUUUCUAGUUACGGUCAU
ncrna:unclassified sequences IS605-orfB-I RNA